rnacentral:lncRNA from 1 species
AAAGGCACAAACGACUGAGUUGCCGAAGGUUCGCCCAACUUCAGAGUCUUCUUCUUAUUUGACUUCUCAGAGGGUUCUCUCUUCCUCUUCAUGAAAUUUGGUGGCUGUUCUGGUAUCCAAUCCACAAAGAACUCUGAAAUGUCAAUACCUUGAGACGUCAGAUCUUGAAGGUAACGAAUAGUAACCUCUGGGGGAUCUAUCUUGG